GUAGGUGGCAAGCGUUGUCCGGAAUUAUUGGGCGUAAAGCGCGCGCAGGCGGUCCUUUAAGUCUGAUGUGAAAGCCCACGGCUCAACCGUGGAGGGUCAUUGGAAACUGGGGGACUUGAGUACAGAAGAGGAAAGCGGAAUUCCAAGUGUAGCGGUGAAAUGCGUAGAGAUUUGGAGGAACACCAGUGGCGAAGGCGGCUUUCUGGUCUGUAACUGACGCUGAGGCGCGAAAGCGUGGGGAGCAAACAGGAUUAGAUACCCUGGUAGUCCACGCCGUAAACGAUGAGUGCUAAGUGUCAGGGGGUUUCCCGCCCCUUAGUGCUGCAGCUAACGCAUUAAGCACUCCGCCUGGGGAGUACGGCCGCAAGGCUG
rnacentral:rRNA from 1 species